AUGGUGGAGUGCCCGGACCUGUUCCCGGUGGCGGAGCCCGGCGCGGAGGAGGGGCUCGACCACGCGCCGAGGACCGGCACCGGGGUGAGGCACGUGCUGAAGCUGAGCGCGACGGACACGUUCCAGGACUACUACGCGGUCGGGCGUUACAACGACACGACGGACACCUUUGAACCCGAGGACGACGGCGACGACUGCCAGAGCUGGCGCCGCCUCGACUACGGCCACGUGUACGCGUCCAAGUCCUUCUUCGACGCGCGCAAGAACCGGCGCGUGCUCUGGGCGUGGGCCAACGAGACCGACAGCCAGGCCGACGACGUCGCCAAGGGUUGGUCCGGCGUCCAGAUCUUCCCACGGAAGGUUUGGCUGGACAACGACGGGAAGCAGCUGAGGCAAUGGCCAAUCGAGGAGAUCGAGACGCUGAGAAGCAGAAAGGUCGGGUUGCUGGGAACGGUGGUGAACUCCGGCGGCGUGAACGAGAUCGUCGGCGUCGCGGGCACGCAGGCGGACGUGGAGGUGGUCUUUGAGAUCCCGGCCCUGGAGGGAGCCGAGAGCUUCGAGCCCAACUGGCUGCUGGACCCGCAGAGGCUGUGCGGGGAGAAGGGCGCGUCCGUGCCCGGCGGGAUCGGCCCGUUCGGGCUGCUCGUCAUGGCCUCCGACGACCUGCAGGAGCACACCGCCGUCUUCUUCAGGGUGUUCAGGCACCAUGACAAGUACAGAGUGCUCAUGUGCACCGACCUGAGCAGGUCAACUACGAGAGCCGGGGUGUACAAGCCGCCGUACGGGGCUUUCGUGGACAUGGACAUCGAGGCGCACGGCGGGAUCGUCUCGCUCAGAACACUGGUUGACCACUCGGUGGUGGAGAGCUUCGGCGGCGGAGGCCGGACGUGCAUCACGGCGAGGGUGUACCCGGAGCACGCCGAGAACGGCAACAGCCACCUGUACGUGUUCAACAACGGGACUGGUGCGGUGAAGGUGGCCAAGCUCGAGGCGUACGAGCUGGCGACGGCGACCGUGAACGUUGGGGACGACGGGUUGAUUCAGCCGAGCUCCAUGCGCAGAGGUGAAGCGUACAAGGUGUGGGGACUGGUUUUGUUCGUGCCAUGGCCCUCAUGUCAAAUUUCGGCUGGCUUAGGUCCCUUACAAUGCAAGGUGCUUAGAGAAAUAAACCAAGUUUUUAUUUAA
rnacentral:rRNA from 1 species